rnacentral:rRNA from 1 species
AUGCAAGUCGAACGGGCUCUUCGGAGAAUCUGCCUUCAGGUUGGGGACAACAGUUGGAAACGACUGCUAAUACCCAAUGUGCCGAGAGGUGAAAGCUUUAGUGCCUGAGGAUGAGCUCGCGUCUGAUUAGCUAGUUGGUGGGGUAACGGCCUACCAAGGCGACGAUCAGUAGCUGGUCUGAGAGGAUGAUCAGCCACACUGGGACUGAGACACGGCCCAGACUCCUACGGGAGGCAGCAGUGGGGAAUUUUCCGCAAUGGGCGCAAGCCUGACGGAGCAAGACCGCGUGAGGGAGGAAGGCUCUUGGGUUGUAAACCUCUUUUAUCAGGGAAGAAGCUCUGACGGUACCUGAUGAAUCAGCAUCGGCUAACUCCGUGCCAGCAGCCGCGGUAAUACGGAGGAUGCAAGCGUUAUCCGGAUUUAUUGGGCGUAAAGCGUCCGCAGGUGGUUGUUCAAGUCUGCUGUUAAAGCGCGAGGCUUAACCUCGUACAGGCAGUGGAAACUGAGCGACUAGAGUAUGGUAGGGGUAGCGGGAAUUCCCAGUGUAGCGGUGAAAUGCGUAGAUAUUGGGAAGAACACCAGCGGCGAAAGCGCGCUACUGGGCCAUUACUGACACUCAUGGACGAAAGCUAGGGGAGCGAAAGGGAUUAGAUACCCCUGUAGUCCUAGCUGUAAACGAUGGGUACUAG